GCGCAGCUCCCUUUGCCCAUCCUGACGUGCCAUAAGCACGUGCGUUUCUUCCUUCCUUUUCUGCUUCUUUGCUCGCUCAUUGUUCUUCCCCCCCCUCCCCUCACUCCUCAGCCCAGACGCGUGUACACGCCACACGCGCACUGUAUCAGCUGCCACUGCUCCCCCCCUCCGCCUUUCUUUGACGCUGUUUUUCUUUCUUCUACGCCCUCCCUACGGCAUACACGCACUGGCACACGGACGCACGCACGCUCCCCCCUAUUUCGGAGCUCUCUCGUGCACCGUGGAGUCUUUGUUUUUUUUUUGUCGCACUUUUCUGUUUUCUCUCCUCACUCACCCUCUCCCGUCGAUCGCUACCUACGGUGCACCGACAGAGAACAGAUACCCGCAUGUACAAUGCCUUUCAAGAAGAAUGGCUUCUCGCCGCGCAAGCCGAGCUCUCCCACGAAGGUGCUGCCCUCCUCCACCGAUACGCAUCACUCAGUGCUCGCCAAGAUCAGCAGCGUAGCCCACGUUCGCGUCUCCGUCAAUGACCUGGUUGCGUUUGAAUACGUGUGCGAGGAGACCAAGGGCUGGAAAUGGGGCCUUGGCACUGUCGCCGGCAUUCCAGGCCCGCGUCUCGUGCAGCUGAUGCUGUGGGCCGGCAGUGGCGGAGCGAUGCCGCCGGAGGCGCUGCCCGUGUCGGAAGCCGACCGCGCAGCAGCAGUGAAGCGGCUGAAGGAGCUGCAGAGGAUGCGGCAAGAGGCGGAGGAAGAAAUGGAGGACUUGAACAAGACGCUCACAGCAAAACAUGCGCACUACAAAGAGGGUCGUGCCGCGUAUGAGGCAGACGCAGCGCGUGCGCAGGAGGCCGCGGCGGAGGCGCGGGAGGAAGUGAAGAACAUGGACGAGGCUGACUGGCGCGAGAUUCGUAGCUACGUGAAACCGCCAGACAUCGUGAAGCUCGUGACGGAAGCCAUGGUGCUCACGCUGGGCGAGACGACCCUGGAUUGGAACUACAUUCUCAAGGUGAUCCGGCAGCGCACAUUCCUAAAGCGGCUGGAGGAGUUCGACUCGCAGAGUAUCUCGCUGGCGACGCGCCGCCGUCUGCGCAAGGAGUACUUGCUGAACCCUCGCUUCACUCAUAGGGACUCGAUGGAGGGCAGUCGCGCGCUGGGCAUUGUGCAGCGAUGGGUCGCGGCACAGUUGGCCACCAGCGAGGCGAACGUCGACAUCUGCCUCUACGAUCAGGCGCGGGCACGUGAGAGGAAGCACAUCGAGAAGAUGGAGGACACGCUGCGUCAGCGUCGCGACGAGGCCGAGAAGUUUAAGGCCGAGGAAACGCGGCUGAAAAGGCAGCUAGGCGACUCGCCGGUGCACAUUGACCACGGCAAGCACGUCAACGGCACCGCAAAGGCUUCUCCUGCGCCGUCGCCAAGGGGAAGUUCAGCCAAGAACGCCUGGAGCCCGAGGGGCGGCAAGCCCGACAACGGUGCCGACGGUGCGACACCUCGCGGUCGCCCGGGUGCACCGCCGCUGCACGAGAAUGUCUACAGUACGGCCAACACGUGGGUCUUCACCGACGAAAGCAAGAUCGUUUUGCACAGCAGCAUUCUUGUCAACUACGACGAGCCGGCGUCGACGGUGGUGACUCUAACGCCUGAGCAGGUCGAGAAGCUCAAGAAGGCUCUGAGGGACCGCGCCGCCCUGUUCGCGGAGCAGCAAAAAGCAGAUGGCAAGAUCAAGAACCUGGAGGAAGACCUCGAGAAUGUGCGCGGCGUGCUGGCGGAUUCACUGCAGGACUUGGCAGAUGCCAAGGCAGCUCUGGCAGCGCAAGACGCUGCGCUUGCUGCAAAGGACCGCGAGAUUGAUGAGGCUAAGGAAGCUGCUGCCGCUGCCGCGAGGUUGGCGGGCACAAACAAGGUGGGGCUACUUCCCGCGGUGGAGCCGCCAAAGGAGCCGGCCGGCCAAUGCAAGGAGCUCAAUGAGCUAAUAGCCGCACUCGACAGUGAAAAGGAGAAAAAGAAGCCCAACGACAAGAAAGGCAAGAGGCAAGGGGGCCGGGCUGAAGUUGAGCUAGAGAAAGAGGUGAUGGCGAACGGCAUUGCCCUCAACGGUAGCAUGCCGGCUCUCUUCCAUGCGAGGGAUGACCGCGAACUAGCGAAAAUUAUUGACAGGCUAGAAAAGGAGAUCCGUAUCUUGCGCAACGAGUCCGAGACUGCCACCUUUGUGCUGGAUGGAGUUCAUGCCACCAUCAACGGACGCCCGGAGCUGAAGCAGUACUUUGAAGGGGAUACGUAGGGGGAGGGGGUCUUGUUCGCUGUCUCCUCGCUUCAGGGCAGCGGCUGACGUGCCUCUAAGUACGCUUGAUAUGGUCUCCUUCUUUCCUUUCUCGCUCGCUCCUUUUCUGUGUGUCUGUGUUUGUGUCUGUUUUGCCUCUUCGUUCCAGCUUCAUGGCUCUCUCUCUGUUUCUGCGUCUCUGUAUCUCUUUUUUUUUACGCUGCCUUCAUCCCCUUGUCCUUUUUUGUCGUGUGCUGGCAAUGAUGGCGGCAUUGUUUCUCGUGUCUGCGUGUGCAUGUGUGCUGGAUGUUGUGGUGCUGUGGUAAUCGCGGCGGCACGUGAUACGUAUGUUCUAUCUAUAGAUGUCAUUUCUAUUGAUACAAACUUGAAAAAAAACCGAUCCUUUGAUUGCGUUUGCCUCCCUCCCCCUUUUUUUGUUUUGUAUUUUGUGUGUUGUGUUUUUGUUUCACUCCUUAAAUGCAUGGACAUGGUGACACGUGACUGUGUCACCACACGCACGCACCACUCGCACGAUGGAUCCCACCGACAAAAGAAUACGCCGCGCCAGCGACCAGGACGGCGUUGACAGAACAGUUCGCAUGAACGCUGACGCGCCCGCCUUUGUUGAUUCUCUCCCUCUCCCUCUUCUUUGUUUUUUUUUUUGCGUGAGCGCGAGCACGUGUGCCUUCCCCGUUGGUGUAUGUCGUCUUCACUCCUCCUCUUCCUCCUCCCCUCCCCCACCUCGUGCUUCUCUCUGCUUUGGCGCGUUUGUGCUGGAUCGCGGCGGCGGUUGUGCCGGCGUCAAGCUCGGAUUCUCUGACUGCCGAAGGCGAAUAUGGGAAGCGCGCUGCGCCGUUCCCCCUUCCCCCACCCCAUCCACCCUCUCUACGUGCGCGCCAUAGAAGCUCAUCUGAACGCAGGUCUCCCAUGUGAGAGAGGGAGUAUGCUGGCCGCACGACGCGUCUGCGAAAGGCAGCUCAGACACCAGCAUUUCCAUCACGUCCCUUCCGCUCUCCGGUUAAGUCUGCUGCUUGAUGGCUUAACGGGCGUUUCUUUUCGUCUCUGUCUCUCUUGCCAGAGUGGGGGACGGCACGGGAGGGGGGAGGUGUGAACGGCGACCGCAGACCAACUAUGGAGAUUGCCACAUGAGGUGUGCACGCCAGCAGACACACGCAAACAAGAACAGGCGCUCAGAACGAACGAACGGCAUGGAGGUGUAGCAACUGUUUCCAAUAACCCCUGUUUGCAUUGGGCGCGCUGCGCUAAUGAUUUUUUUGUCAAUUCUUCAAGCUUUCGUUGCGCUCUGAUGUUUGCCUGUUGGCGCGUCUGUCUGUCGGUGGGCGGCUUGUCUUUUCGUUUUCUAAGUGGAGGAAGUCAUCAUCACGCUCCAACAUCGCUGGGUCGUUUUGACUGUUGUCUUCCUGUGUGUGUGUGUGUGCAUGCGCGCUUAUCGCGCUUUUUCCCCUUUUACUGCGUGUUUCUCAUUCGCUCAUGGAUACAAGAGUCCAUUAUGGAAGGUCUGAGG
rnacentral:misc_RNA from 1 species